rnacentral:rRNA from 1 species
UAAGCGGAGGAAAAGAAACUAACCAGGAUUUCCUUAGUAACGGCGAGUGAAACGGAAACAGCCCAGCUUGAAAAUCGGCGUGCUGUGCAUGUCGAAUUGUAGUCUGGAGAAGGGUCCUCUGCAGCGGACCGGGCCAAAGUCCCUUGGAAAGGGACGCCAGAGAGGGUGAGAGCCCCGUCUGGCCCGGACCCUGUUGCGUGACGAGGCUCUUUCGGCGAGUCGGGUUGCUUGGGAAUGCAGCCUCAAGUGGGUGGUAAAUCCCAUCCAAGGCUAAAUACUGGUGAGAGACCGAUAGCGCACAAGUACCGCGAGGGAAAGAUGAAAAGGACUUUGAAAAGAGAGUCAAAGAGUGCUUGAAAUUGUUGGGGGGGAAGCGGAUGGAUGCUCUGUGCGUCCCUUGGUUGUGUGUGGAACGGCGCAAGCUGGUCUGCCAAGCAAUGCAAGGGGCUGGCCAGCAUGGGGGGUUGUGGCGGGAUAACGGCAGGUGGGCCUCGGCUCCCUGCAAGUGUCGCUGCAGCCCCUCGGGAACGUGGGGUGAUGCCCCGUGAUGCUGGUUUUUUGGGCGUUCCAUUCGACCCGUCUUGAAACACGGACCAAGGAGUCUAACAUGUGUGCGAGUCUGUGGGUGGAAAACCUGUUCAGGCGCAAGGAAACUAAAUCGUGGGAUCCUCCAUGUGGGGUGCACCGCGGACCGACCUUGAUCUUAUGAGAAGGGUUUGAGUGUUAGCAUACCUGUUGGGACCCGAAAGAUGGUGAACUAUGCCUGAGCAGGGCGAAGCCAGAGGAAACUCUGGUGGAGGCUCGUAGCGAUACUGACGUGCAAAUCGUUCGUCAGACUUGGGUAUAGGGGCGAAAGACUAAUCGAACCAUCUAGUAGCUGGUUUCCUCUGAAGUUUCCCUCAGGAUAGCUGGAGCUCAUGCUGAGUUUUAUCGGGUAAAGCGAAUGAUUAGAGGCCUCGGGGGUGAAACACCCUCGACCUAUUCUCAAACUUUAAAUAGGUAAGGCGCUGGGGUUGCUCCGCUGAACCCCAGCCUCGAAUGCGAGCUCCAAGUGGGCCAUUUUUGGUAAGCAGAACUGGCGAUGCGGGAUGAACCGAA